rnacentral:tRNA from 1 species
AUCUUUUUAGUAUAAUGAAUAUAAGUGACUUCCAAUCACUUGAUCCUAGCUAAAACCUAAGAAAAGAUA